ACAGGGCCAUUACCACAAAGGUGAUGCGGUAUUAGAAAUGAAAUGGUAUUAUGCAAAUAUUGAAUAAAUUGGGCUGUUCAGGAUCCAAUUU